rnacentral:siRNA from 1 species
CAUGAAAAGUUGUUUACGCACCA